CUUCGGCCCGAGUUGUAAUUUGCAGAGGAUGUUUAUGGUGCGGUACCUUCCGAGUUCCCUGGAACGGGACGCCACAGAGGGUGAGAGCCCCGUCUGGUUGGAUACCAAACCUGUGUUAAACUCCUUCAACGAGUCGAGUAGUUUGGGAAUGCUGCUCUAAAUGGGAGGUAAAUCUCUUCUAAAGCUAAAUACUGGCCAGAGACCGAUAGCGCACAAGUAGAGUGAUCGAAAGAUGAAAAGCACCUUGAAAAGGGGGUUAAACAGUACGUGAAAUUGUUGAAAGGGAAGCGUUUAUGACCAGACUUGUGUCGUGUGGCUCAUCCGAGGUUCUCCCCGGUGCACUCCACGCGGCUCAGGCCAAC
rnacentral:rRNA from 1 species